UACAGAGACCACGAGCGUUGACCGGAUUUAUUGGGCGUAAAGCGUGCGCAGGCGGUUUCGUAAGUCAUCUGUUAAAUCUUCAGGCUCAACCUGGAGGCUGCAGGUGAUACUGCGAAACUUGAGAAUGGGAGAGGCUGGCGGAAUGCCCGGUGUAGGGGUAAAAUCCGUUAAGAUCGGGUAGAACACCAAAUGCGAAAGCAGCCAGCUGGAACAUUUCUGACGCUGAUGCACGAAAGCGUGGGUAGCGAAUGGG
rnacentral:misc_RNA from 1 species